rnacentral:tRNA from 32 species
GCGGAUGUGGUGGAAUUGGUAGACACACUGGAUUUAGGUUCCAGCGCCGAAAGGUGUGAGAGUUCGAGUCUCUCCGUCCGCACCA